rnacentral:rRNA from 1 species
GACGGACGCUGGCGGCGUGCCUAAUACAUGCAAGUCGAGCGGACGGAUGGGAGCUUGCUCCCAGACCGUCAGCGGCGGACGGGUGAGUAACACGUGGGCAACCUGCCUGUAAGACUGGGAUAACUCCGGGAAACCGGGGCUAAUACCGGAUAACUCUUUCCCUCACAUGAGGGAAAGCUGAAAGAUGGCAUCUCGCUAUCACUUACAGAUGGGCCCCCGGCGCAUUAGCUAGUUGGUAAGGUAACGGCUCACCAAGGCGACGAUGCGUACCCGACCUGAGAGGGUGAUCGGCCACACUGGGACUGAGACACGGCCCAGACUCCUACGGGAGGCAGCAGUAGGGAAUCUUCCGCAAUGGACGAAAGUCUGACGGAGCAACGCCGCGUGAGUGAUGAAGGUUUUCGGAUCGUAAAACUCUGUUGUCAGGGAAGAACAAGUACCGGAGUAACUGCCGGUACCUUGACGGUACCUGACCAGAAAGCCACGGCUAACUACGUG